GACGAACGCUGGCGGCGUGCUUAACACAUGCAAGUCGAACGAAGUGGCGAACGGGUGAGUAACGCGUAAUCAACCUGCCCUUCAGAGGGGGACAACAGUUGGAAACGACUGCUAAUACCGCAUAUCGAAGGGGGGGAUUGUGUCUGAUUAGAUAGUGGGAGGGGUAACGGCCCACCAAGGCGAUGAUCAGUAGCCGGUCUGGGGGGGGGAACCGCCACAUUGGGACUGGGGCACGGCCCAGACUCCUACGGGAGGCAGAAGUGGGGAAACUUCCGCAAUGGGCGGAAGUCUGACGGAGCAACGCCUCGGGAGUGAUGACGGCCUUCGGGUUGUAAAGCUCUGUUAAUCGGUACGCGGUACCGAAAUAGAAAGCCACGGCUAACUACGUGCCAGCAGCCGCGGUAAUAC
rnacentral:rRNA from 1 species